GUAGCUCAGUGGUAGAGCACUUGCCUAGCAUGCAUGAGGUCCUGGGUUCAAUCACCAGC
rnacentral:tRNA from 1 species